UACGUAGGGAGCAAGCGUUGUUCGGAUUUACUGGGCGUAAAGGGUGCGUAGGCGGCAAAUUAAGUCAGCUGUGAAAUCUCCGAGCUUAACUCGGAACUGUCAGCUGAUACUGAUCUGCUAGAGUGCGGAAGGGGCAAUCGGAAUUCUUGGUGUAGCGGUGAAAUGCGUAGAUAUCAGGAGGAACACCGGUGGUGUAGACGGCUCUCUGGACCAUAACUGACGCUGAGACACGAAAGCGUGGGUAGCAAACAGG
rnacentral:rRNA from 1 species